UAUAGCUGGAAACCGGCUCGGGCGUCGAGGCAACUCUACGCCCGUGCACGCAUGUGAGGGGUAGAAAAAAAACA
rnacentral:sRNA from 1 species